rnacentral:lncRNA from 1 species
UUCCCUGUAGUCAGCAUUAUGGUUUUAAACCCUAAACUGAACUUUUUCCUUUAGUCAGCAUUAGAGUUUAAAAACCCUAAACUGAACUUUUUCCCUAUAAUCAGCAUUAGGGUUUUAAACUCUAAACUGAACUCUUUUCCUUUAGUCAACAUUAGGGUUUUAAACCCUAAACUGAACUUUUCCCUUUAGUCAACAUUAGGGUUUUAAACCCUAAACUGAACUUUUCCCUGUAGUCAGCAUUAGGGUCUUAAACCCUAAACUGAACUUUUCCCUUUGGUCAGCAUUAGGGUUUAAACCCUAAACUGAACUCUUUCCAUUCAGUCAGCAUUAGGGUUUUAAAACCCUAAACUGAACUUUUCCUUAGUCCGCAUUAGGGCUUCAACCCUAAAACUGAACUUUUGUCCAUUCAGUUAGCAUUAGGGCCCCAACCCUAAACUGAACUUUUCCCCAGUUAGUCAGCAUUAGGGUUU